rnacentral:misc_RNA from 1 species
UAAUGCUGACUGGACAAAGAAUAUAAUGUAUCCAGGAUACAAUCCCUGUAAUUUGUUAAAAAUGAAGACACAGGAAAAGUCAAAUAGCUUGAAGAAGAUACAAUAAAUGCUUAAGUGUUCAUGGAAAUGUUAAAUUGACAGGAAACCUGUACGGUAAGACAAAGUAGCAAGACUUCACAAAAAGAAUAGGCAUUGCUGAGAAGAUAACUGGAGACUUCCAGGAAAUUUGAGUAGGUGAAUGAGCAAAGGAAAAGAGUGUUUUAGAAGUUGAAAUAUGGAAUGCUAGGACAGAUCAUUUAGCCAACCAGAGGCCACAGUACCUUUCAAAUGUUGAAAAUGUAAUGUAAAAAGAAACAUUCCAAUCACCCACAGAUAAAGUUGUUCUGACAGGAAAUUAAAUUGAUAAAUAACAAAACAAAAAUCGACCAACGGAUGACGUAGAAAUGAAACCACUACAUAAUAAUUUUCUCUCCUCUUUCCUUUUCCUUCUCUAUUUAUUUACUUUUUUUUUUACAACAGCAUGUGACAUGCAAAAAUGCUCAAGAACAUUCACCCAGGACACAGAAAAGUUGAAUCACAGGCUAAUACCUACAUCAUCUCCGAUGCUUACAAUUUAAGUACCAUAACUCUCAAAAAAUAGAUAAACCAAAAAAAAAAUCAUGAAACUUAACAUCAACGUUAAUAGGGGUAAAACUUCAGGAGAGAACAGAGAGGGUUCCGAUAUGAAACCUAGAAAAUUGCAAAUGCUUGUUAGUGAUUAGCCAGUACGAUAUUCAUACACAGUUAUUAGUGAACCACUGUUUACCCAUAUUUCCCUAGUAACCUUGACAGAAGAUUCUAUGCUUGGGCAAUUGUAUCAUAGAAACUGAACCAAGAUAUGGACUAAAAAAGAGAUAAUAGAAGCAAAUAAAGAAGGAAAUAAAUUAAUAAUAGUACUCACAUGCCAAACAGCACUGGUGGUUUGAGUGGCCAACAACUGAAAGAAA